rnacentral:rRNA from 1 species
UGACCCGUCCUGAAGCACGGACCAAGGAGUCUAACAUGUGCGCGAGUCAUUGGGAGAGGAAAACCCAAAGGCGUAAUGAAAGUGAAGGCCGUUUGUCGGUUUGAGGAGAGAUCAUUGACUCUGGGUGCUUCCGCAAGGUUGUGGCCAGAGAAGGUGCGCAUCUCCGGGACGUCUGAACCUCUGAAGGUAGGGCGUACCUAGAGCGUACACGUUGGGACCCGAAAGAUGGUGAACUAUGCCUGGUCAGAACGAAGUCAGGGGAAACCCUGAUGGAGGUUCGUAGAGAUUCUGACGUGCAAAUCGAUCUUCGGAACUGGGUAUAGGGGCGAAAGACUAAUCGAACCAUCUAGUAGCUGGUUCCCUCCGAAGUUUCCCUCAGGAUAGCUGGCAUUCGUGUACCAGUCUCAUCCGGUAAAGCGAAUGAUUAGAGGCCUUGGGGCCGAAACGACCUCAACCUAUUCUCAAACUUUAAAUGGGUGAGAAGUGGAGCUUGCUUGAUCGAAGCUCUACGAUGGAUGGAGAGUGCCAAGUGGGCCACUCUUGGUAAGCAGAACUGGCGCUGUGGGAGGG